rnacentral:rRNA from 1 species
UACGGGGGGAGCAAGCGUUGUUCGGAUUUACUGGGCGUAAAGGGCGCGUAGGCGGCCACCGCAAGUCGACUGUGAAAUCUCCGGGCUUAACCCGGAAAGGUCAGCCGAUACUGCGGGGCUAGAGUGCAGAAGGGGCAACUGGAAUUCUCGGUGUAGCGGUGAAAUGCGUAGAUAUGCGGAGAAACACCGAUGGCGAAGGCAAUCCCCUGGGCCUGCACUGACGCUCAUGCACGAAAGCGUGGGGAGCAAACAGG